rnacentral:rRNA from 1 species
UACGUAGGGUGCGAGCGUUGUCCAGAAUUAUUGGGCGUAAAGAGCUUGUAGGCGGUCUGUCGCGUCUGCUGUGAAAAUCCGGGGCUCAACCCCGGACUUGCAGUGGGUACGGGCAGACUAGAGUGUGGGAGGGGAGACUGGAAUUCCUGGUGUAGCGGUGAAAUGCGCAGAUAUCAGGAGGAACACCGAUGGCGAAGGCAGGUCUCUGGGCCACUACUGACGCUGAGAAGCGAAAGCAUGGGGAGCGAACAGG